AUUGAACGCUGGCGGCAGGCCUAACACAUGCAAGUCGAACGAGUGGCGGACGGGUGAGUAAUGUCUGGGAAACUGCCUGAUGGAGGGGGAUAACUACUGGAAACGGUAGCUAAUACCGCAUACCAUCGGAUGUGCCCAGAUGGGAUUAGGUAGUAGGUGGGGUAAAGGCUCACCUAGGCGACGAACACUAGCUGGGCUGAGAGGAAGACCAGCAACCCGGGAACGGAGCCACGGUCCAGACUCCUACGGUAGGCAGCAUUGGGGUAUAUUGCACAAUGGGCGCAAGCCUGAUGCAGCCAUGCCGCGUGUAUGAAGAAGGCCUUCGGGUUGUAAAGUACUUUCAGCGGGGAGGCGUUACCCGCAGAAGAAGCACCGGCUAACUCCGUGCCAGCAGCCGCGGUAAUAC
rnacentral:rRNA from 1 species